rnacentral:rRNA from 1 species
CAGCCCUAAACGAUGCGCGUUAGGUGUAUCGGUGACCACGAGUCACCGAGGUGCCGAAGGGAAACCGUGAAACGUGCCGCCUGGGAAGUACGGUCGCAAGGCUGAAACUUAAAGGAAUUGGCGGGGGGAGCACCACAACGGGUGGAGCCUGCGGUUUAAUUGGACUUCAACGCCGGGAAGCUCACCGGAUAAGACAGCGGAAUGAUUGCCGGGCUGAAGACCCUGCAUUGACCAGCUGAGAGGAGGUGCAUGGCGUAGUCGUGU